UACCAAGGCGACGAUCAGUAGCUGGUCUGAGAGGACGAUCAGCCACACUGGGACUGAGACACGGCCCAGACUCCUACGGGAGGCAGCAGUGGGGAAUUUUCACGCAAUGGGCGAAAGCCUGACGGAGCAAUACCGCGUGAGGGAGGAAGGCUCUUUGGGUCGUAAACCUCUUUUCUCAGGGAAGAACACAAUGACGGUACCUGAGGAAUAAGCAUCGGCUAACUCCGUGCCAGCAGCCGCGGUAAUACGGAGGAUGCAAGCGUUAUCCGGAAUGAUUGGGCGUAAAGCGUCCGCAGGUGGCGAUGUAAGUCUGCUGUUAAAGCGUCUAGCUCAACUAGAUAAGAGCAGUGGACAACUACAGCGCUAGAGUGCGUUCGGGGCAGACGGGAAUUCCUGGUGUAGCGGUGAAAUGCGUAGAGAUCAGGAAGAACACCAGUGGCGAACGGCGCUCUGCUAGGCCGCAACUGACACUGAGGGACGAAAGCUAGGGGAGCGAAUGGGAUUAGAUACCCCAGUAGUCCUAGCCGUAAACGAUGGAUACUAGGCGUGGCUUGUAUCGACCCGAGCCGUGCCGUAGCUAACGCGUUAAGUAUCCCGCCUGGGGAGUACGCCGGGCAACGGUGAAACUCAAAGGAAUUGACGGGGGCCCGCACAAGCGGUGGAAGUAUGUGGUUUAAUUCGAUGCAACGCGAAGAACCUUACCAAGGCUUGACAUGUCGCGAAUCUUCUUGAAAGGGGAGAGUGCCUUCGGGACGCGCGAACACAGGUGGUGCAUUGGCUGUCGUCAGCUCGUGUC
rnacentral:rRNA from 1 species